AUGUCAAGCCUGGUACUACCAACAACCAGAACAGUCCCCAAAGCCUUGACUGGCACAGGGACCACUCUCCUGGCAGGAAGUCCCUCUCGGUUCAGCGCCGGCGGAUCUGGGAGUGACUUCACCCUGACUGUCACAGCAGUUCAGGCUGAGGAUGCAGGGAUUUCCUACUGUCAGAGUGAUCAGGCUCUAUCACUGUGGAUCACUUUUGGUGGCGGCACUGAGGUCAUCGUCUCAUCGGGGGUCUCAGUCAAACCCACCCUCUCCCUGCUCCCCCCCUCUUCUGAGGAGUUGUCCAAGGGCUCGGCCACGCUGUCCUGUCUGCUGAGCAGCUACUCCCCAAAAGGAGCGCUGGUGACUUGGCAGAAGGAUGGGAGGGAGGUGACGGCGGGCGUCCUGACGGGACAAGAGGUGUGGAGCAGCACUGGGUACAGCCGCAGCAGCAUCCUGACCCUCAGCAAAGCCAGCUGGGAUGAAGGAGACCUCUACACCUGCUUGGUGGCCCAUGAUGGCCGCAGGCAGUCCACCGAGCUCAGGAGGACACAGUGCAGCGGCUAGAGAAACGCCCCCUACUGGCUGGAAGCAACCUUCCCUCAAACGCAUGGGGUUAUAAAAAGAGAUGAAUAAAAAUGAGGCAGGGAUGUGAACACAAAAGCCCCCUUGCAGUUUCUAACAUGUGUGUGCUUAGGUGUGUUGUAGUUAAGUGUGUAGGGGUGAGUUUGGGGAGAGGGGCACUUUGGUUAAGUUCAUCUGUUGCUUCUACUGUUGGUUUCUGUUGCUGAAUGUAUUCCUGCUUGUCUGCUGCUCAGAACUUAAUAAAGUUUUUGUC